UCACAAUUAUCGGAGGUCCAGUUGUUGAGAGUGAAGUUGACGUCAAUGAAGCAGAUGCAGUUGUAGAAGUUGGACUGGAUGCAGUAGAAGGGUUAGUUGGGGUAGUUGAAGUAGGUGUAUUAGAAGGGGUAGUUGGGAUAGGUGUAGUAUAAGGGGUAGGUGUUGUAGUUAGGUUAGGUGUAGUAGAAGGGGUAGUAGAAGGGGUAGUUGGGAUAGGUGUAGUAGAAGGGGCAGGUGGGAUAGGUGUAGUAGAAUGUGUAGUUGAUGUAGUUAGGGUAGUUGGAGAAGGUGUGGUAGGUGUAGUUGAUGUAGUUAAUGUCGUUGGAGGUGUGGAAGGUGCGGUAGUUGAUGUAAUUAGGGUGGUUGUAGAAGGUGUGAUAGUUGGGGUAGUUGAUGGUGUGUUGGGUGUGGUUGUGAAAGGUAAUGUAGUUUGAGUAGUUAGAAAGGGUGUGGUAGAUGUGGGAGUUGGAGACUGUGUUGUGGUUAUUGCUUCUAUCGUUGGGCUAGUUGAUGGUCCUUGUGUAUUAAUGGUCAUUGUUUCAGCUGGAAUUGUUGACAUUUCUAACGUUGUUGUGUGAUCUUCAAGGGUCAUUCCCGCUGCAGUUGUGGAGUCAGUUGGCUCUGCAGUUGUACUUUCAGUUCCUUGGGUAGAUGAGACUCCAACGGUAGUGGGAGAUAUUUGCCCGUCCGUGACUGCUGAAGUUAGUUCAUUUGUAGUGGCAGGCUCACUGGUAAUCGUAGAAGGUUGUGAGGGACUUGUUUCCGUCGAGGUACUGGUUGAAGUUUCUGUUACACUUGAGGACAUAGCUGUAGUUGUUUCCAUUGUGUCUCCGGUUGAUUCUGGUGUCAUGGUCACUCCCGAUGUUGAAAACGUAGCUUCCACAGCUGCACUUGUUAAACCAGCUGAGGUCGCUGUCGAUUCUUCAGCAGAUGUGUUUGCUUCAGAAGUUGUUGUUGAUGCCUCACUUGAUGUUGAGGUACCAGCAGUGCUAGUUAGAGACUCACUUGUAACUCCAGAUGGCACUGAUGUGUGACCAGAAGUGAUUGUGGGAGUUGGGCUUGUCACAGUCUCUGGGCUUGCUGAUGGUUCUUGUGUAACAAUGGUAGUUGUUUCAGCUGGAAUUGUUGACAUUUCUAACGUUGUUAUGUGAUCUUCAAGAGUCGUUCCAGCUGCAGUUGUUGAGUCAGUUGGCUCUGCAGUUGUAGUUUCAGUUCCCUGGGUAGAUGAGAGUCCAACGGUAGUGGAAUAUAUUUGCCCGUCCGUGACUGCUGAAGUUAGUUGAUUUGUAGUGGCAGGCUCACUGGUGAUCGUAGAAGGUUGUGAGGGACUUGUUUCCGGCGAGGUACUGGUUGAAGUUUCUGUUACACUUGAGGACAUAGCUGUAGUUGUUUCCAUUGUGUCUCCGGUUGAUUCUGGUGUCAUGGUCACUCCCGAUGUUGAAAACGUAGCUUCCACAGCUGCACUUGUUAAACCAGCUGAGGUCGCUGUCGAUUCUUCAGCAGAUGUGUUUGCUUCAGAAGUUGUUGUUGAUGCCUCACUUGAUGUUGAGGUACCAGCAGUGCUAGUUAGAGACUCACUUGUAAUGUCAGAUGGCACUGAUGUGUGACCAGAAGUGAUUGUGGGAGAUGUGUUUGUCACAGUAUCUGGGCUAGCUGAUGGUUCUUGUGUAACAAUGGUAGUUGAUUCAGCUGGAAUUGUUGUAAUUUCUAAAGUUGUUGUGUGAUCUUCAAGGGUCGUUCCCGCUGCAGUUGUGGAGUCAGUUGGCUCUGCAGUUGUACUUUCAGUUCCCUGGGUAGAUGAGAGUCCAACGGUAGUGGAAGAUAUUUGCCCGUCCGUGACUGCUGAAGUUAGUUCAUUUGUAGCGGCAGGCUCUCUGGUGAUCGUAGAAGGUUGUGAGGGACUUGUUUCCGGCGAGGUACUGGUUGAAGUUUCUGUUACACUUGAGGACAUAGCUGUAGUUGUUUCCAUUGUGUCUUUGGUUGAUUCUGGUGUCAUGGUCACUCCCGAUGUUGAAAACGUAGCUUCCACAGUUGCACUUGUUAAACCAGCUGAGGUCGCUGUCGAUUCUUCAGCAGAUGUGUUUGCUUCAGAAGUUGUUGUUGAUGCCUCACUUGAUGUUGAGGUACCAGCAGUGCUAGUUAGAGACUCACUUGUAACUUCAGAUGGCACUGAUGUGUGACCAGAAGUGAUUGUGGGAGAUGGGCUUGUCACAGUCUCUGGGCUUGCUGAUGGUUCUUGUGUAACAAUGGUAGCUGUUUCAGCUGGAAUUGUUGUAAUUUCUAAAGUCGUUGUGUGAUCUUCAAGGGUCGUUCCCGCUGCAGUUGUGGAGUCAGUUGGCUCUGCAGUUGUACUUUCAGUUCCCUGGGUAGAUGAGAGUCCAAUGGUAGUGGAAGAUAUUUGCCCGUCCGUGACUGCUGAAGUUAGUUGAUUUGUAGUGGCAGGCUCACUGGUGAUCGUAGAAGGUUGUGAGGGACUUGUUUCCGGUGAGGUACUGGUUGAAGUUUCUGUUACACUUGAGGACAUAGCUGUAGUUGUUUCCAUUGUGUCUUUGGUUGAUUCUGGUGUCAUGGUCACUCCCGAUGUUGAAAACGUAGCUUCCACAGUUCCACUUGUUAAACCAGCUGAGGUCGCUGUCGAUUCUUCAGCAGAUGUGUUUGCUUCAGAAGUUGUUGUUGAUGCCUCACUUGAUGUUGAGGUACCAGCAGUGCUAGUUAGAGACUCACUUGUAACUUCAGAUGGCACUGAUGUGUGACCAGAAGUGAUUGUGGGAGAUGGGCUUGUCACAGUCUCUGGGCUUGCUGAUGGUUCUUGUGUAACAAUGGUAGUUGUUUCAGCUGGAAUUGUUGACAUUUCUAACGUUGUUAUGUGAUCUUCAAGGGUCGUUCCAGCUGCAGUUGUUGAGUCAGUUGGCUCUGCAGUUGUACUUUCAGUUCCCUGGGUAGAUGAGAGUCCAAUGGUAGUGGAAGAUAUUUGCCCGUCCGUGCCUGCUGAAGUUAGUUGAUUUGUAGUGGCAGGCUCACUGGUGAUCGUAGAAGGUUGUGAGGGACUUGUUUCCGGCGAGGUACUGGUUGAAGUUUCUGUCACACUUGAGGACAUAGCUGUAGUUGUUUCCAUUGUGUCUUUGGUUGAUUCUGGUGUCAUGGUCACUCCCGAUGUUGAAAACGUAGCUUCCACAGUUGCACUUGUUAAACCAGCUGAGGUCGCUGUCGAUUCUUCAGCAGAUGUGUUUGCUUCAGAAGUUGUUGUUGAUGCCUCACUUGAUGUUGAGGUACCAGCAGUGCUAGUUAGAGACUCACUUGUAACUUCAGAUGGCACUGAUGUGUGACCAGAAGUGAUUGUGGGAGAUGGGCUUGUCACAGUCUCUGGGCUUGCUGAUGGUUCUUGUGUAACAAUGGUAGUUGUUUCAGCUGGAAUUGUUGACAUUUCUAACGUUGUUAUGUGAUCUUCAAGGGUCGUUCCAGCUGCAGUGGUGGAGUCAGUUGGCUCUGCAUUUGUACUUUCAGUUCCCUGGGUAGAUGAGAGUCCAACGGUAGUGGAAGAUAUUUGCCCGUCCGUGCCUGCUGAAGUUAGUUGAUUUGUAGUGGCAGGCUCACUGGUGAUCGUAGAAGGUUGUGAGGGACUUGUUUCCGGUGAGGUACUGGUUGAAGUUUCUGUUACACUUGAGGACAUAGCUGUAGUUGUUUCCAUUGUGUCUUUGGUUGAUUCUGGUGUCAUGGUCACUCCCGAUGUUGAAAACGUAGCUUCCACAGUUGCACUUGUUAAACCAGCUGAGGUCGCUGUCGAUUCUUCAGCAGAUGUGUUUGCUUCAGAAGUUGUUGUUGAUGCCUCACUUGAUGUUGAGGUACCAGCAGUGCUAGUUAGAGACUCACUUGUAACUUCAGAUGGCACUGAUGUGUGACCAGAAGUGAUUGUGGGAGUUGGGUUUGUCACAGUAUCUGGGCUAGCUGAUGGUUCUUGUGUAACAAUGGUAGCUGUUUCAGCUGGAAUUGUUGUAAUUUCUAAAGUCGUUGUGUGAUCUUCAAGGGUCGUUCCCGCUGCAGUUGUGGAGUCAGUUGGCUCUGCAGUUGUACUUUCAGUUCCCUGGGUAGAUGAGAGUCCAAUGGUAGUGGAAGAUAUUUGCCCGUCCGUGACUGCUGAAGUUAGUUGAUUUGUAGUGGCAGGCUCACUGGUGAUCGUAGAAGGUUGUGAGGGACUUGUUUCCGGUGAGGUACUGGUUGAAGUUUCUGUUACACUUGAGGACAUAGCUGUAGUUGUUUCCAUUGUGUCUUUGGUUGAUUCUGGUGUCAUGGUCACUCCCGAUGUUGAAAACGUAGCUUCCACAGUUCCACUUGUUAAACCAGCUGAGGUCGCUGUCGAUUCUUCAGCAGAUGUGUUUGCUUCAGAAGUUGUUGUUGAUGCCUCACUUGAUGUUGAGGUACCAGCAGUGCUAGUUAGAGACUCACUUGUAACUUCAGAUGGCACUGAUGUGUGACCAGAAGUGAUUGUGGGAGAUGGGCUUGUCACAGUCUCUGGGCUUGCUGAUGGUUCUUGUGUAACAAUGGUAGUUGUUUCAGCUGGAAUUGUUGACAUUUCUAACGUUGUUAUGUGAUCUUCAAGGGUCGUUCCAGCUGCAGUUGUGGAGUCAGUUGGCUCUGCAUUUGUACUUUCAGUUCCCUGGGUAGAUGAGAGUCCAACGGUAGUGGAAGAUAUUUGCCCGUCCGUGCCUGCUGAAGUUAGUUGAUUUGUAGUGGCAGGCUCACUGGUGAUCGUAGAAGGUUGUGAGGGACUUGUUUCCGGCGAGGUACUGGUUGAAGUUUCUGUCACACUUGAGGACAUAGCUGUAGUUGUUUCCAUUGUGUCUUUGGUUGAUUCUGGUGUCAUGGUCACUCCCGAUGUUGAAAACGUAGCUUCCACAGUUGCACUUGUUAAACCAGCUGAGGUCGCUGUCGAUUCUUCAGCAGAUGUGUUUGCUUCAGAAGUUGUUGUUGAUGCCUCACUUGAUGUUGAGGUACCAGCAGUGCUAGUUAGAGACUCACUUGUAACUUCAGAUGGCACUGAUGUGUGACCAGAAGUGAUUGUGGGAGAUGGGCUUGUCACAGUAUCUGGGCUAGCUGAUGGUUCUUGUGUAACAAUGGUAGUUGUUUCAGCUGGAAUUGUUGACAUUUCUAACGUUGUUAUGUGAUCUUCAAGGGUCGUUCCAGCUGCAGUUGUGGAGUCAGUUGGCUCUGCAUUUGUACUUUCAGUUCCCUGGGUAGAUGAGAGUCCAAUGGUAGUGGAAGAUAUUUGCCCGUCCGUGCCUGCUGAAGUUAGUUGAUUUGUAGUGGCAGGCUCACUGGUGAUCGUAGAAGGUUGUGAGGGACUUGUUUCCGGCGAGGUACUGGUUGAAGUUUCUGUCACACUUGAGGACAUAGCUGUAGUUGUUUCCAUUGUGUCUUUGGUUGAUUCUGGUGUCAUGGUCACUCCCGAUGUUGAAAACGUAGCUUCCACAGUUGCACUUGUUAAACCAGCUGAGGUCGCUGUCGAUUCUUCAGCAGAUGUGUUUGCUUCAGAAGUUGUUGUUGAUGCCUCACUUGAUGUUGAGGUACCAGCAGUGCUAGUUAGAGACUCACUUGUAACUUCAGAUGGCACUGAUGUGUGACCAGAAGUGAUUGUGGGAGAUGGGCUUGUCACAGUCUCUGGGCUUGCUGAUGGUUCUUGUGUAACAAUGGUAGUUGUUUCAGCUGGAAUUGUUGACAUUUCUAACGUUGUUAUGUGAUCUUCAAGGGUCGUUCCAGCUGCAGUGGUGGAGUCAGUUGGCUCUGCAUUUGUACUUUCAGUUCCCUGGGUAGAUGAGAGUCCAACGGUAGUGGAAGAUAUUUGCCCGUCCGUGCCUGCUGAAGUUAGUUGAUUUGUAGUGGCAGGCUCACUGGUGAUCGUAGAAGGUUGUGAGGGACUUGUUUCCGGUGAGGUACUGGUUGAAGUUUCUGUUACACUUGAGGACAUAGCUGUAGUUGUUUCCAUUGUGUCUUUGGUUGAUUCUGGUGUCAUGGUCACUCCCGAUGUUGAAAACGUAGCUUCCACAGUUGCACUUGUUAAACCAGCUGAGGUCGCUGUCGAUUCUUCAGCAGAUGUGUUUGCUUCAGAAGUUGUUGUUGAUGCCUCACUUGAUGUUGAGGUACCAGCAGUGCUAGUUAGAGACUCACUUGUAACUUCAGAUGGCACUGAUGUGUGACCAGAAGUGAUUGUGGGAGUUGGGUUUGUCACAGUAUCUGGGCUAGCUGAUGGUUCUUGUGUAACAAUGGUAGCUGUUUCAGCUGGAAUUGUUGUAAUUUCUAAAGUCGUUGUGUGAUCUUCAAGGGUCGUUCCCGCUGCAGUUGUGGAGUCAGUUGGCUCUGCAGUUGUACUUUCAGUUCCCUGGGUAGAUGAGAGUCCAAUGGUAGUGGAAGAUAUUUGCCCGUCCGUGACUGCUGAAGUUAGUUGAUUUGUAGUGGCAGGCUCACUGGUGAUCGUAGAAGGUUGUGAGGGACUUGUUUCCGGUGAGGUACUGGUUGAAGUUUCUGUUACACUUGAGGACAUAGCUGUAGUUGUUUCCAUUGUGUCUUUGGUUGAUUCUGGUGUCAUGGUCACUCCCGAUGUUGAAAACGUAGCUUCCACAGUUGCACUUGUUAAACCAGCUGAGGUCGCUGUCGAUUCUUCAGCAGAUGUGUUUGCUUCAGAAGUUGUUGUUGAUGCCUCACUUGAUGUUGAGGUACCAGCAGUGCUAGUUAGAGACUCACUUGUAACUUCAGAUGGCACUGAUGUGUGACCAGAAGUGAUUGUGGGAGAUGGGCUUGUCACAGUCUCUGGGCUUGCUGAUGGUUCUUGUGUAACAAUGGUAGUUGUUUCAGCUGGAAUUGUUGACAUUUCUAACGUUGUUAUGUGAUCUUCAAGGGUCGUUCCAGCUGCAGUGGUGGAGUCAGUUGGCUCUGCAUUUGUACUUUCAGUUCCCUGGGUAGAUGAGAGUCCAACGGUAGUGGAAGAUAUUUGCCCGUCCGUGCCUGCUGAAGUUAGUUGAUUUGUAGUGGCAGGCUCACUGGUGAUCGUAGAAGGUUGUGAGGGACUUGUUUCCGGCGAGGUACUGGUUGAAGUUUCUGUCACACUUGAGGACAUAGCUGUAGUUGUUUCCAUUGUGUCUUUGGUUGAUUCUGGUGUCAUGGUCACUCCCGAUGUUGAAAACGUAGCUUCCACAGUUGCACUUGUUAAACCAGCUGAGGUCGCUGUCGAUUCUUCAGCAGAUGUGUUUGCUUCAGAAGUUGUUGUUGAUGCCUCACUUGAUGUUGAGGUACCAGCAGUGCUAGUUAGAGACUCACUUGUAACUUCAGAUGGCACUGAUGUGUGACCAGAAGUGAUUGUGGGAGAUGGGCUUGUCACAGUCUCUGGGCUUGCUGAUGGUUCUUGUGUAACAAUGGUAGUUGUUUCAGCUGGAAUUGUUGACAUUUCUAACGUUGUUAUGUGAUCUUCAAGGGUCGUUCCAGCUGCAGUUGUGGAGUCAGUUGGCUCUGCAUUUGUACUUUCAGUUCCCUGGGUAGAUGAGAGUCCAACGGUAGUGGAAGAUAUUUGCCCGUCCGUGCCUGCUGAAGUUAGUUGAUUUGUAGUGGCAGGCUCACUGGUGAUCGUAGAAGGUUGUGAGGGACUUGUUUCCGGCGAGGUACUGGUUGAAGUUUCUGUCACACUUGAGGACAUAGCUGUAGUUGUUUCCAUUGUGUCUUUGGUUGAUUCUGGUGUCAUGGUCACUCCCGAUGUUGAAAACGUAGCUUCCACAGUUGCACUUGUUAAACCAGCUGAGGUCGCUGUCGAUUCUUCAGCAGAUGUGUUUGCUUCAGAAGUUGUUGUUGAUGCCUCACUUGAUGUUGAGGUACCAGCAGUGCUAGUUAGAGACUCACUUGUAACUUCAGAUGGCACUGAUGUGUGACCAGAAGUGAUUGUGGGAGAUGGGCUUGUCACAGUCUCUGGGCUUGCUGAUGGUUCUUGUGUAACAAUGGUAGUUGUUUCAGCUGGAAUUGUUGACAUUUCUAACGUUGUUAUGUGAUCUUCAAGGGUCGUUCCAGCUGCAGUGGUGGAGUCAGUUGGCUCUGCAUUUGUACUUUCAGUUCCCUGGGUAGAUGAGAGUCCAACGGUAGUGGAAGAUAUUUGCCCGUCCGUGCCUGCUGAAGUUAGUUGAUUUGUAGUGGCAGGCUCACUGGUGAUCGUAGAAGGUUGUGAGGGACUUGUUUCCGGUGAGGUACUGGUUGAAGUUUCUGUUACACUUGAGGACAUAGCUGUAGUUGUUUCCAUUGUGUCUUUGGUUGAUUCUGGUGUCAUGGUCACUCCCGAUGUUGAAAACGUAGCUUCCACAGUUGCACUUGUUAAACCAGCUGAGGUCGCUGUCGAUUCUUCAGCAGAUGUGUUUGCUUCAGAAGUUGUUGUUGAUGCCUCACUUGAUGUUGAGGUACCAGCAGUGCUAGUUAGAGACUCACUUGUAACUUCAGAUGGCACUGAUGUGUGACCAGAAGUGAUUGUGGGAGAUGGGCUUGUCACAGUCUCUGGGCUUGCUGAUGGUUCUUGU